AUUGCUAUUAUUUGCAUUCUUGAAUUUGUAAUUCAGUUUUGAUAUUAAGUGUGCUUUAUCUAUCUUAUACCCACAUGGUGUGGGGUUCAGAAUGUAACAGGCGCCCCCUGGAGUCUUCAUCCGAUGCCCAGCACCUGGUCUUCCCUUCCCUGAGGCAGUCAUGAUGGUCCUUCCUCUGACAUCCGCCCCCACCCCCCCAGCUGUGUUGUGCACACGUUGCUUAGGACGGGAUUAACGUCAGUUUUUAAAAGCCAGCAGGCGUCCCGAGGGCGGCAGUGGAGCUGAGAAACCCUCAUCAUUUAGACAGAGCUGGCGCGGGCAUCCCUCCCUAGUGAGCCUGCGGUGGACCAGGCUGGGCCUCCGACCCCAGCCAUGCCUGAGGAACGCCAGUCUCCAUGAUGCGCCUGACAGGCGGCCAGGGGCAGCGCGGCCCCAUCUCUGAGCACAGGCUCCGGAUGCGCGGGCUCAGCGGCCAUGGCUCACGGGCCCAGCCGCUCCACAGCACUGGCAAGUUCUCCAUGUGCGUCAUGUAUGGAUCGGAUCCUUGUCCCUGAGCAGCUGAACCUGUCUCCACUGCCUGUGGUUCACCAGGCCGGAGCUGAACUGCAGGCGGCACAGUGACUGACGCAGGCUGAUGGAGAGUUAAAGACACAAGUUGCCUUGGCAAGGGUUCUGCAAACACCUGCUUUGCAAGCUGUCCUCCCACACAGCGACCUUGGGAAGGCCUUGGAGAGUUGCGUGGGAGGGGCCGGGGUUUUCACCAUGACUUCCUAGGGCGUCAGUGUUGCCUUUGUCUCCAGGCUCUUCUGGAAUCAGUGAAGAAGUACCAGCAGGGAUUCGGUAGCGGAUGAACUUGGCCCCAGCAGGACUGAGGACUCUGACGGGCACACGGCGGCUGCUCUUCCUUCUAAUCUGCAUGUUGACCAAGGGAGACAUGGGGCCCGAGUUUGAAAAGCAGAAGAGAUACAGAAGAAAAGGAGACGAUAAGUCAACUAAGAAGUCAGAACUUGCAAAGAAGCUCCCACAAAAUAGCCAACGGAGACCAAGGUAAGAUGGGAUGAGCAGAUGGGGGUGGACAUGGGCCAAGAUUUUUUUAAGCCACUGGUAAAUGUUGGUUCAUAAAGGAACUUUGAUCCUUUCCCCAUCAGGCUAUUUCUUCCAGAAUGUAAGGUUUAAAGCAAAAAACACUGACUGAACGUGGUGUGCUUGGAGAUUAUUUGGGUCCAAUAAACCUUCACAAAACCCAGGUGGUUUCCGUGAAUGGGAGAUGUUAUCAACAGGCUGGGAGGAAAAACCCCAUGCUUGUAACAUUUACACUGGACCAGCAGCUGGCAGUGAAUGAAAGUAGUUUAAAACUGUUUUUACUUUCAGUAAAAUUUUUCUGGGUCGAAUUUCUUUUGAACUCUUCCGUUACUCUUAAUUCCUGCAAAGCUAGGAGGGAGAAUGUAUCUGCAAAAUGAACUGUGAAAUGGGACUGGAAGGGGCUACUUCUUGAAAGGAAAAAUAAACUUUCCGCAGUGGUCCAGUUGCAUUAAGACUGUGAGAGGUGAAAACCGUAUAAAGCGAGGUCACUAGGGGGUCAGAGCAGCACAAGGCAGCGAGCGUAAAUAAAGUACGUACUCCAUUUGCCCACUGCACGUUGGCUUCGUUUAUGAAGUAACUGGGUUUUCUGAAAGGAAGCAGAAAACCCUCCUGACACAGCUGCCUUCCGGGGAAGGCAGCCUGAAGGAAAGCAAUGCUCUCGGGACUGAGGGGAUGGUUCGUUCCCGGUCGCGGCUCUCUAUGUGGCUCUGUCUAGUUGGAUGUGGAUUUUUUUAUGACUGAGGAUCUUAAUUUGAAAAACCUUCCAAAACCCUCACGACUCAAAAAGUUGUAGGACUCUGUGUAAUGGUGCAUUUCCCAACUGCGUACGCUUGUGAACAACAGGAAAGCUUCACUUCGCUCUUGGAUCGGGGGGAAGUGAGGAAGUGAUUCCCAUGCUGAAAAUACUCCGUUUGUCCCUUGUGCCUUUUUUUUCCUUUAUCAAGAGUCGUAUAUUUUGUCUUUCCAAAAACCUGC